UUUUUUCUUUAAGUUAUGAUCGGAUGCUUAGAUCAUGAUUUUAUUGGGAUUUUGUAGUCCCAUAGCACAUAUCAUCUGUAUUUUCUAGAAUACUGGGGAAGGGGAGUGUCACGGUGAGAAAUAUACUCUUAUUGGAAAUUAAUUUCACAAUAUUUUAAAACAUUUGCAACUUAUCAGCUCUUCUUUUCAGUAUGACUCUAUACAUGCUUUACAGACUCUGAGAUGAAAGUGACGUUUGAAAGACUGUUUAAUUGCAGUUCUAAAAGUAGAAGCAUUUUCCUCUUAUAUGCAAAAGUCAAAAGUCAUGGAAAAACUACCUUUGGUGUCAUGAUGAAGGAGGAGAAAGAGGAGACUUCCUUCCAAUACAGCAGCAAAAAAAAAUACCAGCAAAAAAACACACAGAGGUGCUGGGAAGAUUGCCUUACCCUGCUGCAUUCCCCAAAAAGGAGGCAGCCCUGACAUGCUGCCCAUCAGAGUGAAGAAAACAUUUACAGCAGGGCACUCUGGUCAUCCAUGCAUAUUGGACAUUGCUGUUCUGU